rnacentral:rRNA from 1 species
CCUACCUUACAUUGGGGGAUAGCCUUUCGAAAGGGAGAUUAAUACCGCAUAAGACAGUAGCUGGGCAUCCAGCAGCUGUUAAAGAUUUAUCGAUGUAAGCUGGGCAUGCGUCCAAUUAGCUAGUUGGUGAGGUAACGGCUCACCAAGGCUAUGAUUGGUAGGGGAACUGAGAGGUCAAUCCCCCACACUGGCACUGAGAUACGGGCCAGACUCCUACGGGAGGCAGCAGUAGGGAAUAUUGGGCAAUGGACGCAAGUCUGACCCAGCCAUGCCGCGUGCAGGAUGAAGGCGUUAUGCGUUGUAAACUGCUUUUAUACAGGAAGAAACGACUCUUGCGAGAGGCAUUGACGGUACUGUAUGAAUAAGCACCGGCUAACUCCGUGCCAGCAGCCGCGGUAAUACGGAGGGUGCAAGCGUUGUCCGGAUUUAUUGGGUUUAAAGGGUGCGCAGGUGGUUUAUUAAGUCAGUGGUGAAAGACGGUCGCUCAACGAUUGCAGUGCCAUUGAAACUGGUAGACUUGAGUAAAGUAGAGGUGGGCGGAAUUGAUAGUGUAGCGGUGAAAUGCAUAGAUAUUAUCAAGAACUCCAAUUGCGUAGGCAGCUCACUUGGCUUUUACUGACACUCAUGCACGAAAGUGUGGGUAUCAAACAGGAUUAGAUACCCUGGUAGUCCACACUGUAAACGAUGAUAACUAGGUGUCGGCCGAAUCUGGUCGGUGCCACAGCGAAAG